CCUACGGGUGGCAGCAGUGGGGAAUAUUGCACAAUGGGCGCGAGCCUGAUCCAGCGACGUCGCGUGAGGGAAGACUGCCCUCCGGGUUGUAAACUUCUUUUGUAAGGGCAUAAAGUGAGGCACGUGUGCAUUUUUGUCUGUCCUUUUUGAAUCCGGAUCGGCUAACUCCGUGCCAGCAGCCGCGGUAAUACGGAGGAUCCGGGCGUUAUCCGGAUUUAUUGGGUUUAACGGGAGCGUAGAUGGGUUGUUAAGUCAGGUGUGAAAGUUUGCGGCUCAACCGUAAAAUUGCAAUGGAUACUGGCAGGCUGGAGUACAGUUGAGGUAGGCGGAAUUCGUGGUGUAGCGGUGAAAUGCGUAGAUAUCACGAAGAACUCCGAUGGCGAAGGCAGCUUACUAAACUGCCACUGACAUUGAGGCUCGAAAGUGUGGGUAGCAAACAGGAUUAGAUACCCGGGUAGUC
rnacentral:rRNA from 1 species